rnacentral:rRNA from 1 species
UCAUAUGCUUGUCUUAAAGAUUAAGCCAUGCAUGUCUAAGUAUAAGCUUUUAUACGGCUAAACUGCGAAUGGCUCAUUAAAACAGUUAUAGUUUAUUUGAUGGUCUUUACACAUGGAUAACCGUGGUAAUUCUAUGGCUAAUACAUGCGCACAUGCCUCUUCCCCUGGAAGGGCAGUGUUUAUUAGAUACAGAACCAACCCACCUUCCGGUGGUCCUCAGGUGAUUCAUAGUAACCGAACGGAUCGCGUUGACUUCGGUCUGCGACGGAUCAUUCAAGUUUCUGACCUAUCAGCUUUCGACGGUACUGUAUUGGACUACCGUGGCAGUGACGGGUAACGGGGAAUUAGGGUUCGAUUCCGGAGAGGGAGCCUGAGAAACGGCUACCACAUCUAAGGAAGGCAGCAGGCGCGCAAAUUACCCAAUCCUGAUUCAGGGAGGUAGUGACAAGAAAUAACAACACUGGAAAUUUCAUUUCUAGUGAUUGGAAUGAUAGGAAUCCAAACCCCUUUCAGAGUAACAAUUGGAGGGCAAGUCUGGUGCCAGCAGCCGCGGUAAUUCCAGCUCCAAUAGCGUAUAUUAAAGUUGUUGCAGUUAAAAAGCUCGUAGUUGGAUUUCUGCUGGAAGCAGCCAGUCCGCCCUCAGGG